rnacentral:siRNA from 1 species
GAAGCUAAUCGUCUCGCGGAUGG